rnacentral:lncRNA from 1 species
CUGCACGUUCACUUCCAUCCAACGUUCAUUUGCAUGAAACUCGGUCAAACUUGACCAUUUCACACAAACGUGCAGAUUCUAAAUUCUAGGUAUAAUUCCUUUUUCAAUAUUAGCAUAUGCUGGAAGGAACAACCCGGAUGACCCAUUCGACCAUUUGACUCAUGACCCGAUAACGCGUCGACUCGUGUGACCCGCAAACAAACUGAAUAACCCAACAAUCACCCCCUUAAUCGGUUUGUUCACACCACUCGUUCACGACACCCGAAUCACAAUCUCCUCUCGAACCAUCUUCUAUCGGACUCCCGACCUCAACCACGGUCACGCCCAAAGCCUUCGAUUAACUCGACCUAUCCUGGACACCCCGGUCUUCACCUCGACCACGUCCAAAGUCGUCUUUUACUCGACCUAUCCCGGACCAUUGACCUCUCCUCGGUCAUGUCGAAGGCCAUCUCGGAUCGUGAUUUCAUUAUUCUGUCAAACUCUUACUUGAUAAGCACCACUUGCGUAUCAACCGCCAACUAGACACCAGCCACCCGCUGCACCGUCUUCGAGUCACUAAACGAAUAUCUCAGCCACCCCGCUGUUUCGUUUCUACCGCGCUACACCCGUUGGUUUUUUCUGCCAUAAGAAUUCGACGCCUCCUUGCGAUUCUUCUCCUAGGCAAGAAAGAGUAUCCGACAAAUAAAAACAUGAUCCCUAUCAACAAAACUGGGUUUACAAGCUCGCUGAUUUGGCCUAAUCACAACUCGUCUCCGCUACCCUCUUGA